AAGUCGUAACAAGGUUUCCGUAGGUGAACCUGCGGAAGGAUCAUUAAAAAAUCGUUUGAGCCGCAAGGCUCUAUUAUUUUGUGAACCGUUUGUGGAAGUUGGUGAUGAUGGUUGAUGGGGGAAUGAGAGAGGGCGGCACUGUCGUCUCUCGCUCAGAUUCUGUCGACGGUCACCACUGGCCCCACUGAUAUUAUAAACAUAUGUCUUUGACGUUGAGGAAAUUAUAUCUAUAUAAUAUAUAUACAACUUUCAACAGUGGAUCUCUCGGCUCUU
rnacentral:misc_RNA from 1 species